GUGGGGUGCUAUCUGUUUGGUAGGAUUAAAAAAUAAUUGUUCUGUCUUCAUCCUAGGUAUAUCGCAAGUUCUUCGGCGGGUACUGCAACUGCUCAUACCAUGAUUGCAGAGCUGAGAACACCUUGAAGCUAGGAGAUGUCAUCCAGUACCAUGAAUGUGGUUACCGCAUUCUCUAUAAGAAGCGGGCACCGAUCCAUGUGCAGUACCAGCAAACUUCCCAUUUUCUAUGACUCCAAGGCCUUAUGUCAUCCAGCAAUGGCAGUUGCCGUUCAGUUUGGACUAUAGAAUUCAAUUAUGAGUUCAGUUUGUUGAUAUUAAAGGAAAGAUACAGGUCAGCCUCUUUUACUUAACAAGGUAAGAGCUCUAAAUUUAUGUUAGUAUAGUAGAAGUUUUUUUUGUUGUAAAUAUCACUUGCAUAUACACCAGCUAGAUGCUCACUAUUUGUCCUCUCUCAAGGUCUCAAUCUGUCUGAUGUUUAUUCAACCGAU